UCUUUCUACUGGAAGCAUUGUAACAUAUCACUCAGCCCAGCACCUAGGUGAUGUGAUUCUGCUCUCUUGCCUGGUCUCUGCCCACUGAAGUGGUGGUGACCUAUCACUGAGCCAAGCACUAAGGUAAUGUCACUCUCCUGUCUUGUCUCUGCCCAUGAAGGCCAUUGUGACAUAUGUCUAGGCCAAUCACCUAGGUGAAGUGAGCCUCCUCUCCUGCCUAAGCUCUGCCUACAGGGGAGAUUUUGAUAAACUGGACUCAGAACCUUCUGCCAGGGUCCUGCCCACAAGGGGGAUUAUUACAUAUCACUGGACCAGCACAUAGGUGAGAUUGUGACCUAUGUUUGGAUCCAGCUCACAGGCAUGAUGAUGAAUCUUACACCUGAACCUAGCCAAGAGGAAAGAU
rnacentral:lncRNA from 1 species